rnacentral:rRNA from 1 species
UACGGGAGGCAGCAGUGGGGAAUAUUGGACAAUGGGCGCAAGCAUGAUCCAGCCAUGCCGCGUGAGUGAUGACGGCCCUAGGGUUGUAAAGCUCUUUCGACGGGGACGAUAAUGACGGUACCCGUAGAAGAAGCCCCGGCUAACUUCGUGCCAGCAGCCGCGGUAAUACGAAGGGGGCAAGCGUUGUUCGGAAUCACUGGGCGUAAAGGGCGCGUAGGCGGACAUUUAUGUCAGGGGUGAAAUCCCGGGGCUCAACCCCGGAACUGCCCUUGAUACUGGGUGUCUUGAGACCGGAAGAGGCAAGUGGAACUGCGAGUGUAGAGGUGAAAUUCGUAGAUCUUCGCAAGAACACCAGUGGCGAAGGCGGCUUGCUGGUCCGGAUCUGACGGUGAGGCGCGAAAGCGUGGGGAGCACACAGGAUUAGAUACCGUGGUAGUCCACGCCGUAAACGAUGGAUGCCAGCCGUUGGGCAG